UGCAGAAGUUUUCCUCGGUAGUUAACUGCCGCCGGUUUACUAAAACUUCGGCAGUUAACUGCCGAAGGGCAU
rfam:Medicago truncatula strain A17 chromosome 4, whole genome shotgun sequence.